CCCUCCUACAAAGGCGUGUCUUUUGCUCCCUGUCUUUGGACACGUAAGAAUUGGAGGCAAAGUAAAGAGGACUUGGAGGGAUCUAGAGCUGGCUUGCUCCCCGCAGGCUCAAGAUCAACUGUCCCACAUAA
ensembl:snoRNA